AUACGGAGGAUCCAAGCGUUAUCCGGAUUUAUUGGGUUUAAAGGGUGCGUAGGCGGACUGGUAAGUCAGCUGUGAAAGUUUGCGGCUUAACCGUAAAAUUGCAGUUGAUACUGUCAGUCUUGAGUGUGCAUGAGGUGGGAGGAAUUUGUGGUGUAGCGGUGAAAUGCUUAGAUAUCACGAGGAACUCCAAUUGCGAAGGCAGCUCACUGGGGCAUAACUGACGCUGAUGCACGAAGGUGUGGGUAUCAAACAGGAUUAGAUACCCUGGUAGUCCACACAGUAAACUAUGAAUACUCGCUGUUUGCGAUAUACAGUAAGUGGCACAGCGAAAGCGUUAAGUAUUCCACCUGGGGAGUACGCCGGCAACGGUGAAACUCAAAUGAAUUGGCGGGG
rnacentral:rRNA from 1 species